rnacentral:rRNA from 1 species
GAUGAACGCUGGCGGAGUGCCUAACACAUGCAAGUCGAGCGGCAGCGCGAGUAGUUUACUACUUGGCGGCGAGCGGCGGACGGCUGAGUAACGCGUGGAACAUGCCCCAAAGUGAGGAAUAACUGCCCGAAAGGGUAGCUAAUGCCGCAUACGAUCUUCGGAUUAAAGGAUUUAUCCGCUUUGGGAGUGGCCUGCGUACGAUUAGAUAGUUGGUGAGGUAAUGGCUCACCAAGUCUACGAUCGUUAACUGGUUUGAGAGGAUGAUCAGUCAGACUGGAACUGAGACACGGUCCAGACUCCUACGGGAGGCAGCAGUGAGGAAUCUUCCACAAUGGACGAAAGUCUGAUGGAGCAACUCCGCGUGCAGGAUGAAGGCCUUGGUCGUAAACUGCUUUAUGAGUGAAGAAUAUGACGGUAACUCAUGAAUAAGGGUACGGCUAACUACGUGCCAGCAGCCGCGGUAAU